AAUGAACGUUGGCGGCGUGGAUUAGGCAUGCAAGUCGAGCGAGAAGCUUUGAUUGAUCUUUCGAGUGAAGUCAAAGUGGACAGCGGCGAAAGGGAGAGUAACGCGUAGAUAUGUACCCAGGGGUUCGGAUAGCGGGGAACCGCCGGUAAUACCGAAUAACGUCUCCGGACCAAAGAUUUAUCGCCCUUGAGCGGUCUGCGUCCUAUUAGCUUGUUGGUGGGUAAUGGCUUACCAAGGCUAUGAUGGGUAGCGGGUGUGAGAGCAUGGCCCGUCUCACUGGGACUGAGACACUGCCCAGACGUCUACGGACGGCUGCAGUCGAGAAUCUUCCGCAAUGGACGAAAGUCUGACGGAGCGACGCCGCGUGCGGGAUGAAGGCCUUCGGGUUGUAAACCGCUGUCAGAGGGAGCAAAUUUUGAGCGAUCCUCAGAGGAAGCACAGGCUAAGUUCGUGCC
rnacentral:rRNA from 1 species